UGGGGAAUUUUGGACAAUGGGCGAAAGCCUGAUCCAGCAAUGCCGCGUGUGUGAAGAAGGCCUUCGGGUUGUAAAGCACUUUUGUCCGGAAAGAAAUCCUUGGCUCUAAUACAGUCGGGGGAUGACGGUACCGGAAGAAUAAGCACCGGCUAACUACGUGCCAGCAGCCGCGGUAAUACGUAGGGUGCAAGCGUUAAUCGGAAUUACUGGGCGUAAAGCGUGCGCAGGCGGUUUGCUAAGACCGAUGUGAAAUCCCGGGCUCAACCUGGGACUGCAUUGGUGACUGGCAGGCUAGAGUAUGGCAGAGGGGGUAGAAUUCCACGUNUGAGCAGUGAAAUGCGUAGAGAUGUGGAGGAAUACCGAUGGCGAAGGCAGCCCCCUGGCAAGUACUGACGCUCAUGCACGAAAGCGUGGGGAGCAAACAGGAUUAGAUACCCCUGGUAGUCCACGCCCUAAACGAUGUCACUAGUUGUUGGGGAUUCAUUUCCUUAGUAACGUAGCUAACGCGUGAAGUUGACCGCCUGGGGAGUA
rnacentral:rRNA from 1 species